UGCGUAGGCGGGCUAAUAAGUCAGUGGUGAAAUCUCUCGGCUCAGCCGGGAAACUGCCAUUGAUACUGUUAGUCUUGAGUUCGGUUGAGGUAGGCGGAAUGUGUAAUGUAGCGGUGAAAUGCUUAGAUAUUACACAGAACACCAAUUGCGUAGGCAGCUUACUAGACCGACACUGACGCUGAGGCACGAAAGCGUGGGGAGCGAACAGGAUUAGAUACCCUGGUAGUCC
rnacentral:rRNA from 1 species